UGCCAGUGAUGUGAUUUAUAUAUUUGCUAUUCUUGACUACUUACAUGAUGAGUACAUUUCACCACAAAUUUCUGAGGCA